CUAAGGUUCAGAGAAAGGCUCGAGCAAAGGGGAUUUUUCCCGAAAUCGAAAACCCUUGGAGCUAGGGUUCAUAGAGGAGUGCGAAGAAUGUUCGCGAAGAUGCUAGGAGAGCUCGCGAUGGACUGGACCAGAGAGGUUGUUUCAAAAGCUUGGAGUUGAUCAAAGGGUGCGAGAAGAACUUAGGGUUCGUGAUUAAAAGAGGUGUGGCUCGAGAAGGGUGUGCACGAAUUGCUUAUUGGGUUCGAUCUUGCCCUUUUUCCCCUCUUCUCUUUAGUUUUUCUGUAAAACGAGAGUGAUAAAGAGUUUUUCUCUCGGUUAGUUUUAGUUUUUCUCUUGGUUCUUCUCGGUUAGUUUUAGUUUUUCUCUUGGUUCUUCUCGGUUAGUGUUGUUUCAAACACUCUCGGUUCUUUUUAGUUUGAGGGUGAUUAGUUGAUUAGUCUUAGUUAAUUUUAGUUCUAGUUAGUGUUAGUCUAGUUCUUGGAGUGAUUUUCGUUUUCUUCUUCGUUGGAGAUUGUUGAAGGCUACUCACAAGCAGUGACAAGUCGUGAGGCCUCCUUUGGUGAUUUCGGUAUCCUUUUUGUAAUUCGUUUGUUCAUACUAAUAAAAUUCUGAGUUCUUUUGAUUCCCUUGUCCAAUAUUUACAUUUCUGCUUAAUUCUUCCUUUUUCUUGCAAGAAUUUCAUUUUCCAACACUUGUUCUUAUUGUUUCUGCAUUCUGGCAUUGGAUUCUGCUUUUACUUUUAAUUCUUGUACCUUUCUUUUGUGUUUCCUGCUCUCAUUCUUUCCAUUUUGUUUUCUUUUCUGAGUUGGAUGAUUUCCCAUACCUUCGGAUUGAUUCUCUAGUUUUGUAAUUUGCUGGUUUUGAUUGUAUAAUAUGAUAAUAGUGAGUAAAGCAUAGGUAGUUAUUUCCACUCGCUCUUGAAAUAGGUUCUGAUGUUAAAUAUAGUUGAAGGCCCAAUUUUGAUUUAGAUAUGCACUGGUUGGUGGCAGGAGUGAGAAUUGCCAUUUUUAGUUUUUGAAAUAUGAAAUAAAAGACCCCAAAGUGGGUUUUACAAUUGCAAAAGAUCUUUUUGAAGAGUGAUUGAGACUCUUGCCUCAACCCAUUGCACAUUUAUUGUUGAAUUUCUCUUUGCCAAGGUUCUUUACAUGUUUCUUUACCUUAUUUGUUUCUGCUGUGAUAGUCUUGCUUGUUUCUACAAAUUGAAUGUUGAAUUGUGCACUUUAGUGGUUCCAUUAUGGAAUCCAAAUACCCCAAAGUGGAUUUAAUCACCAAGAUGUCUUCUUGAGACACACUCUUGUUCAAUGCACCAAGUAGGAAGAGAUUUUUACUCAGAAACUGUUUUUCUUUACACUUGCUAAUAUGUCACAUGAUUCUAGUUGUGGUUAUUUUCAUAGCCUUUCUUAGAUGCUGUAAAUUGAACGAUUCUUUUUUAGUUUAGCUAGUAUUAGGAUCUCUUCUUAUGAGUUUCUUUCUACAUUCAUUAGUCAAAUAAGUUAGGUUUUCAAUUUUGUUUUGCAGCCAUCUUUGUCUUCUGGCAUUACAUUCACAAAUUCCAACAGUGCAUCUGUAUUCCUUCCUGGUCCUUAAGCACAUUACAUUCACUUGUGCAUGGUAUCACGUUUUGGUUGUCAUAUUUCACAUUGCUGCAUUAUUUAGAGUUGUUAGGACAAAUUUCUGUUGCAUCCUUUAGCAUUGCUAGGUUCAUUGUCCCUUGCAUUUUCCAUUUUGAUUUGUAGUCAUUAGGUUAGAAUAACACCUUGCAUUUAGCAUCUUUCCAGGUUCUGAAUCUGUUUUUCUAGUUUUCUGCUUGAUUCCUCUUAUUAUCAUGUCUAUCAUAUUCUAAAAUAUCAAUUCGUUUUUAUUCUGCACCUUUCUUGACUGAAGUUUUUGCAUCAUACCUUGCAUAUUGUUCCAUCUCUGUAUUGUGUCCAUUCCUUAAGUGCAUCAACAUUUAAAUUCCAUUUCUAUGCAUACUCAUUAACAUCUAAAUAGCCGGUUAGGUUCUGGAAUUGCUUUCUGUACAUUAACCAUUGAUAGGCAUCAAUUUCAGUAGUCUCUAGGAUUAAUUGCAUUACAUUGCAUGCUUCCUUUUGCAUUUGUAUCUGUUAUUUCAAUUUCUUGCUUUACAUAUCAUUCUUUGUUGUUUUUUCUUUUCAAGCAUUUAGUUGAUAUUACUUGUUCUUUGCAUUGACUAAAUAGGGUUCUGAUAUUAGGUUAUGCUGUUGAUUCGCAUAAGUAACGAUGUUCAUCAAUCUAGGUUCUUGUAUCUGCUUUAAUGCAUCAUUCUAGGUUAGGUGUCAUGUAUUACUUACAUUUGAACAUUCAAGAAACCAUGAAUACAUUCCAAUUCCAAAUCUCUUUCUGAUUAAGGAAAUUCAUUCAUUCAUUCAUUAAUGCAUCUCCAAAGCAUUUCCCACAUCUGAAUUUGACAUUUCUCUUCCUUUGUUUACAUCAUUAUGCAUCAUUCAUGCAUCAUCUAGCUUGAGUUAGAUAGACAUGCAUUUGUAAUUAGCUUUCAUUUCUUUUAAAACUUCAGCUUUCUUUUCUUGCCCACCUUACCUUGUUUUCAAUUUUAAUUCCAUAGGAUCAACUUUACAUUUCUAAUACUUAACAUGCAUUGAGUCCUAGGGUUAGUCCUUGGUUACCACUAGCCUACAUUAGUGGGAACUGAGUUUUGUUGACUUUUAGUGCAACCUAAAAGCUUAUUCCUUGAUAUAAUGGAUUAUUCCUAAAACACACCCAUGUACAAAAAGACGCUAUGAUAAUCGAUUAUGACUGAUAAUAAUUGAUUAUCUUAGUGUUUCUACUCAGCAAAUAACCAAAAUUCAUUAUGCAUAAAGGGAUAAUCGAUUAUCAUCUUAGAUAAUUGAUUAUUCCUCUCAUAAUCAAUGCAAAGAUAAUUGAUCAGUACUGCAUCUAGUUAUCACCACACCCUUAAAACAUAUAUUUGUAUGGAAACACCCAAACAUUGUAACUUUGUUUUCCCUUAGCAUUAAAGCCUCUAAUAAGAUAACCCAACAAAACAUCCAUAAUACAUUCAUAGGAAAAACCUAUCACAAAAAUUACCAAAAACUUAUUUCUACACACACAAAUAAUCAAAAUCAUAUAAACAUAUAUCAAACUAGAAUCUUCAUGCAAGUCAAGAAUACAUAGCAUACAACAACAAAGGUAAGUUUUUCAUACCUUGGUUAAUACUAUGAAUUUAUAUAUACUCCAAAAACACCACAAAUCCUCCCUUUGCACAAAGAUUUUUUACGCUUCUUCCUCUUUUCUCCUAGAAAACGUCUCUUCUUUUUCUCAACUCUCUCAAUUUCGUUUUUAGUAUUAGGCUAACAAUGUGAAACCCUUUUCUCUCUUUUCCUUUUUAU
rnacentral:lncRNA from 1 species